rnacentral:misc_RNA from 1 species
UGGGUUCACUGAAGCUGAUCUUGACCGAGAGUUCUUCCUUGGUGUUUGGAGGAUGGCUGGUUUCUUGUCUGAGAAUCGCCCCGUGCAAACCUUGAGGGCGAUUUUGACAAGGCUUGAGCAGGCUUAUUGUGGCAGCAUUGGUUUUGAGUACAUGCACAUUUCUGAUCGUGAUAAAUGUAAUUGGUUGAGAGAACGAAUUGAAACUCCUACACCCAGGGAGUACAACCGCGAACGACGUGAAGUUAUUCUUGACCGGUUGAUGUGGAGUACUCAGUUUGAGAACUUCUUAGCCACCAAGUGGGUGGCAG